rnacentral:rRNA from 1 species
UACGUAGGGGGCAAGCGUUGUCCGGAAUCAUUGGGCGUAAAGAGCGUGUAGGCGGCUUGGUAAGUCCGCUGUGAAAGUCCAGGGCUCAACCCUGGAAUGCCGGUGGAAACUGUCAAGCUUGAGUCCGGAAGAGGCGAGUGGAAUUCCCGGUGUAGCGGUGAGAUGCGCAGAUAUCAGGAGGAACACCAAUGGCGAAGGCAGCUCGCUGGGACGGUACUGACGCUGAGACGCGAAAGCGUGGGGAGCAAACAGG